AGGGUUUGAUCAUGGCUCAGAACGUACGCUGGCGGCACGCCUAACACAUGCAAGUCGAACGAAGUAGCAAUACUUAGUGGCAGACGGGUGAGUAACAUGUAGGUAUCUGCCCUUUGGCCUGGAAUAACACGAGGAAACUUGUGCUAAUACCGGAUAAGUCUUUACGGAGAAAGCUUUAUGCACCAUUGGAUGAGCCUGCACUUGAUUAGUUUGUUGGUGGGGUAAUGGCCUACCAAGACUGUGAUCAAUAGCUGAUUUGAGAGGAUGAUCAGCCACAUUGGGACUGAGACACGGCCCAAACUCCUACGGGAGGCAGCAGUGGGGAAUCUUGCACAAUGGAGGAAACUCUGAUGCAGCGAUGCCGCGUGAGUGAAGAAGGCCCUUGGGUUGUAAAGCUCUUUCGUCGGGGAAGAAAAUGACUGUACCCGAAUAAGAAGGUCCGGCUAACUUCGUGCCAGCAGCCGCGGUAAUACGAAGGGACCUAGCGUAGUUCGGAAUUACUGGGCUUAAAGAGUUCGUAGGUGGUUAAAAAAGUUGGUGGUGAAAUCCCAGAGCUUAACUCUGGAACUGCCAUCAAAACUUUUUAGCUAGAGUAUGAUAGAGGAAAGCAGAAUUUCUAGUGUAGAGGUGAAAUUCGUAGAUAUUAGAAAGAAUACCAAUUGCGAAGGCAGCUUUCUGGAUCAUUACUGACACUGAGGAACGAAAGCAUGGGUAGCGAAGAGGAUUAGAUACCCUCGUAGUCCAUGCCGUAAACGAUGUGUGUUAGACGUUGGAAAUUUAUUUUCUGUGUCGCAGCGAAAGCAAUAAACACACCGCCUGGGGAGUACGACCGCAAGGUUAAAACUCAAAUGAAUUGACGGGGACCCGCACAAGUAGUGGAGCAUGUGGUUUAAUUCGAAGAUACGCGCAGAACCUUACCAACACUUGACAUGUUCGUCGCGACUUUAAGAGAUUAAAGUUUUCGGUUCGGCCGGACGAAACACAGGUGCUGCAUGGCUGUCGUCAGCUCGUGUCGUGAGAUGUUGGGUUAAGUCCCGCAACGAGCGCAACCCUCACUUUUAGUUGCCAUCAUUUAGUUGGGCACUCUGAAAGAACUGCCAGUGAUAAGCUGGAGGAAGGUGGGGAUGACGUCAAGUCCUCAUGGCCCUUACGUGUUGGGCUACACACGUGCUACAAUGGCAUUUACAAUAGGAAGCAAGACGGCGACGUUAAGCAAAUCCUAAAAAAAUGCCUCAGUUCGGAUUGUACUCUGCAACUCGAGUACAUGAAGCUGGAAUUACUAGUAAUCGCGGAUCAGCGCGCCGCGGUGAAUACGUUCCCGGGUCUUGUACACACCGCCCGUCACACCAUGGGAGUUGGUUCUACCUUAAGGCAAAGUUUAAAACCUUUGACCACGGUAUAGUCAGCGACUGGGGUGAAGUCGUAACAAGGUAACCGUA
rnacentral:rRNA from 1 species